rnacentral:lncRNA from 1 species
GACCGCCAGCCUCCACAGUGAAGCUUCCGGCUACAGCUUCCACUGCAGGACAGGAGUUGAAGUGAGUGCUUCAGGUGGAUAAGCUUCGGCGCUCUCAACCUGGUUUGGAUCGUUUGACUAUGGCUCCGCGUUCUUUACAAUCAUAAGCUCGUUCACGAGGGUCCAAAUCAGGGUCUCCAUCUUGCCUUAUUUAUUAACUAAGUUUGGGAAAAUAAAAAUUUGCAUAAGUUAUAGGUAUAGCUCAGGAGAUGAGGUUGGAUCCGUACAUCUGGAACUAAAGAAGCUUCGGGGUCUUGAUUUCCAUUAUAUUAUUCAUUUGGAAUUAGAACCACGCGAUCCCAUGAUCGUGAUUUGAUCAUCCCUUAGGUAUAGCUCAGGAGAUGAGAUUGGAUCCGCAUCAUCU